rnacentral:misc_RNA from 1 species
AACGAGGCCGACCUGCGGCUGAGUUACCUGCGGAAGGAUCAUUACUGAGUACUACACUCUCUACCCUUUGUGAACUAUUAUACCUGUUGCUUCGGCGGCGCCCGCGAGGGUGCCCGCCGGUCUCAUCAGAAUCUCUGUUUUCGAACCCGACGAUACUUCUGAGUGUUCUUAGCGAACUGUCAAAACUUUCAACAACGGAUCU